rnacentral:lncRNA from 1 species
UCCUGCGACUUCUGUGGGGGACUGGUGAAGGGGUUCAAUUCCAGCAGAUGCCUUUUUUGUCAAACACAAAGGCCCCUCAGGGAUUCUCUCUACUUUUCAGCACUUUCAUCUCCCUCAGAUCAAACUGCUGCUCUGCAUAUGAAAGACAUUGCCCAUUAUGAGGCUCACACCACCUCCACUAGCCUCCAACUCUCCCAGGCUUCCAAAGAAGGGCUUCCCAAUAACUUUUUAAAACACAUUAAAGAUGCCUCAUCCUGGCCUCUCCACCUUACCCAGGUAUCAGGCAGUGGGGAUGUUCUCAGGCUCAUUUUCUCCCUUACCAGUCACCAUUUAAAAUCCCUUCUCCCUUACCUGAAAGAGGACUAGUCUCUUAGAAUUGUCUAGAUCAGUCUCAAAGUAAGAUGGUAAUGAAAGUCCUGCUUCAGUCUUUGUCAUGCUGCCAUGCUUGAGAGCUAAAAUUUCCAUGCACUUCUUUGGACAAUUCUCAAUAAAAUUCUGGCAAAUCAAAUACAAAAACAUAUCAAAAAGAUCGUGCACCAUGAUCAAGUGGGAUUCAUUCCAGGGAUGCAAGGUUGGUUCAACAUACGGAAAUCAAUAAAUGUAAUUCAUCACAUCAGUAGAUUCAAAGAUAAGAAUCACAUACAUGAUCAUCUCAAUAGAUGCAGAAAAAUCAUUUGACAAAAUACAGCACCUUUACAUGUUCAAAACACUGAAAAACUAGGGAUAACAGGAAUAUAUCUCAACAUCAUAAAGGUUAUCUAUGCUAAGCCUCAGGCCAAAAUCAUUCUGAAUGGAGAAAAAUUAAAGGCAUUCCCUCUAAAGACUGAAACAAGACAGGGAUGCCCUCUUUCACCACUUCUAUUUAACAUAGUUCUUGAAACACUGGCCAGAGCAAUUAGAUGAAAGAAAUUAAAGGGAUUCAUAUAGGAAAAGAAGAACUUAAAUUAGCACUAUUUGCUGACGAUAUGAUUCUAUACCUAGAAGACUCAAAAAGCUCCACCAGAAAACUUCUAGAACUAGUAAAUGAAUUCAGCAAAGUAGCAGGAUAUAAAAUCAACAAUCAUAAAUCAAAGGCAUUUCUGUAUAUCAGUGACAAAUCCUCUGAGAAGGAAAUGACAAAAACUAUCCCAUUUACAAUAACCUCAAAAAAAAAUACUUUGGAAUCAACAAAAGAGGUGAAAGAUCUAUACAAUGAAAACUACAGAACCCUAAAGAAAGAAAUCAAAGAAGAUCUUAGAAGAUGGAAAGAAAUACCUUGCUCUUGGAUAGGCAGAAUUAAUAUUAUCAAAAUGACCAUACUACCAAAAGUAUUAUACAGAUUUAAUGCAAUUCUGAUCAAAAUCCCAAUGGCAUUCCUCAUAGAAAUAGAAAAAACAAUCAUGAAAUUUAUCUGGAAAAAUAAGAGACCCAAAAUAGCUAAAGCAAUCCUUAGCAGGAAGAGUAAAGCAGGUGACAUCACUAUACCAGACCUUAAGCUUAGAGAAAUAGUAACAAAAACAGCAUGCUAUUGGCACCAAAACAGACUGGUAGACCAAUGGUACAGAAUAGAGGACAUAGAGAGUAACCCACAAAAUUACAAUAAUCUUAUAUUAGACAAAGGUGCCAAAAACAUGCAUUAGAGAAAAGAUAGCCUCUUCAACAAAUGGUGCAGGGAAAACUGGAAAUCCAGAUGCAACAAAAUGAAAUUAAAUCCCUAUCUCUCACCACACACAAAACUCAACUCACAAUGGAUCAAGGACCUAGGAAUUAAACCGGAGACUCUGCAUCUAAUAGAAGAAAAAGUAGGCCCUAAUCUUCAUCAUGUGGGAUUAGGCCCCAACUUCCUUAAUAAGAUUCCUAUAGUGUAAGAAUUAAAACCAAGAAUCAAUAAAUGGGAUGGAUUCAAACUAAAAAGUUUCUUCUCAGCAAAAGAAACAAUCUAUGGGAGAGAGAGAACCUACAUCCUGGGAGCAAAUUUUUACCCCUCACACAUCAAAUAGAGCACUAAUCUCUAGGGUAUAUAAAGAACUCAAAAAGCUAAGCACCAAAAAAGCAAAUAACCUAAUCGAUAAAUGAGCCAGGGACCUGAAC